rnacentral:misc_RNA from 1 species
AUGUUCAACUUAUGGUGUUUAAUCUAGUAGAAAAGCGUGGUGAGGGAGAGGAAAUUGUUCUUGUCAAUCAAAGAGUUAAUAAAUAUUCAAAGAAAAAUGGUGACAGUUCAAUUUUGAAUAACUGAUUGUAGUACAGGAUUUGCAAUUUUUUCAAGAUACUAAUUUCUCUUAUCUGAGUUCAAACAAACAGGAUUCAUAAGAUUCAAAACAAGCAAUGUAUAGGUCUGUGUCAGGUCGAGUAUGUGAUCAACUUACUAUCAUAAUUCUUUAAAGAAAUGCCAUUAAACAUGCUGUGAAAUUCUUAGGCUAGUACAAUAAGCUUAAAGAUUAACAUUUAAUUUUACAUUCUUUUAAGAUGGAAAACAGUGGGAUGCUAUGUAUAAACUACAGAAUAAUAAUGCUGUAUAUUGUUCUAUAACAUAAAUUGUGUAAUCAAUGCAUCCCUGGAGCAAAGUUCUUAAGGACUACACGUCUUUGCCAUUGGCUGGGACAAGCUUCUACUCAGGUGUAAAAAUUAUAUCAUACCUAGCUAUGUGUAUAGCUCCCUAGCCUAAGCUCAGCAAUAAACUACAGGUUUCCUUGAUUUGCCUGAUUGCAAGCAAUGAAUUGGAGGAACAAGUGUUCCUCUCAGAUCUCCGUAUGUGUUCCAACAGAAAGGUUGGGCAUCUUCUCCAACUGAAUUCAGCUCUAUAGUAUCUAGUGAGACACCGGUGCAUGGCAAGUUGUCACUGCAUGCAAAGUGUAGAGGGUUUCUUGUGUAUGUGCCUCUUAUGUUAACAUAGUUUAUGUCUGACACAGCGACAGCUGAAGAUUCGUUUGAGCAUUUGCUUCCGUCACAGUAGAAUUGGUCAAUCAUGAUUGGAGUUUCAACUCCAGAAACUUGAAUGUUUGAGAAUGUGACUCCUUGUACUGAGCCUGAGCCUCCCUGCAGUAGGUAAAUGAAAUAACUAUUAGAUGCUUUCAGAAUUGUAUAUGUAUGUGUUACUAAAGGAGAAAGUCAAUGGGAUAAAUUUGGAUGUUUGUGGUAUUCAUGCCUGCCAUGUCUUUAUCCUAACACCGGUUAAUGUGUUUUGCAUUGCAACAUCCCGGAUGGUGACGUUUGAAACACAGGCUUUGGUGUUGUCUUUUCCAAGCCCUCCAAUGCUAAUGCCAUGUCCAGGUCCACAAUUUACAUUGUGUAUGUAAACAUUUGAGCAUCCGCUUUGAAUAGAUACACAGUCAUCCCCUGUGAAGUCAGUAGGAUAAGAAAUUAAUAUCUUAUCUGAUUUGAUGCAUGUGGACACGAUGAUGAAUUUAGCCACUGAGGCUCUCUUAUUCUGGAUUUCUUGUUUGAUCUUCUAAUGUGUUUGAAUAUUACUUUCAGUAAAAGUAGUUACUUGGUACCAUUAUGAAGACAAUAUUCAUUAUGGUUCACUAGUUUAGUUUCUGAAAUUACCACAAGCAAGAUCAGAGCUGUAAAUGAGCACAUCUCGGGAAUUCUGUAGGUGAAUUCCAUCUGUAUGUGGACUGUUCUCAGGUGAUGCAGCAGUGAAACCUGAAACCUGAACAGAUGUGCAAUCAUCGAAUUUAAGAUGGGUUUGAGGGCUGUUUUGAAUUGUUAUCCCGGUGACGGUCACAUCAGUACUACCAUAGAAUCUUAGAGCCUGCAUAGAUAGAGCAAAAACAUAAGCAAAAACGUUCUUAAUAUCAACAACCUGGUGAGACUCUGAAAAGAGGAGGUUUUGUGAGGAGGCUUACUGUUGGCUUGGUGCUAGGCAUUUUUGCACUGAGCUCACUGCUUACCUGCUAGAUAUCAUUUGCACAAUAGGGCAGAGGGUUAUCUUUGUACAAUUUCAACUUUAAAUUAGCAGUGGAUUUAUUUUAUUUUAUUUUUAAUCCUUUACCUCUGAAUCUGGACUGUAUGUUGGUAGGUCAUUCCACCAGACUGAACCUUGUCCAUCAAUGACACCUUUACCUCUGAUUGUGAUCCCUUUCAGUUUUGUGAACUCAAUCCAUUGCAAAAGCCCUGAUCCCCAAGCUCCAGUACUUGUGGGAGCUAUGAUCUUGCCAUCUAACUGCAUGACAUUACAAACAAAUUCUAGUUCAUUCUGUUAAGUCUAAAAGUUCAACCUUCAAAUGAUGAGGCUUGUGGAAUAAAAAGGUGUGCUCAUUAAGAGUAUGGAAAAUUUACCUGAAAUAUAAUGUUUUCUGCACAAUUAGGACCUGAAAAAGAUAUUGGCUGGACAAGGAAAAUAGACCCAGAAGGAACCACUAUUGUUGAUGCUUCUACUUUGCAAGCAGCUGCCCAUACUGCCUCAAAUGCCUGUCCCACAUAAUAGCAGUUCCAAUAUGACAAGUGUAAGAAUUCCAAACAAUAAUGGGAAUAAGGUCAGCCUUCCAAUAUUAGUCUAUUUACCAUAUCUUUUUAGUGUCAUUCUCUUGCUUAUUUUAGUAUAUUUUGAUUUAUGAUUGCCUUGUUUACUAUUUGAUGUCACUGAAACUGCUGCUCACAUCCUUGGCAGGUGCUACUAAUCACAAAUUGCAAAAGAUGAACCCCUUUUAGUACUUUCUUGAUAUGGUGAAGCAUAGAUGUGUGUGUUUGUGUGUGUGUGU